rnacentral:rRNA from 1 species
AUACGUAGGGGGCGAGCGUUGACCGGAAUGAUUGGGCGUAAAGGGCGCGCAGGCGGCGCGAUAAGACAGGAGUGAAAGCCCUGGGCUCAACCUGGGAAUUGCGUUUGAUACUGUCGCGCUUGAGUGCGGGAGAGGUGAUCGGAAUUCCAGGUGUAGCGGUGAAAUGCGUAGAGAUGGGGAGGAACACCAGUGGCGAAGGCGGGUAACUGGGCUGCAACUGACGCUGAGGCGCGAAAGUGUGGGGAGCAAACAGGAUUAGAUACCCUGGUAGUCCACACCGUAAACGAUGAAAGCUAGGUGUAAGAGAUAGAGACUCCUUUAGUGCCGUAGUCAACACAAGAAGUAUGCCGCCUGGGGAGUACGGUCGCAAGGUUGAAACUCAAAGGAAUUGACGGGG